AUCCUCCCACCGCUUUCUCCUUCCCCCUCUUUCCUCUCUGUGGCUCUGGCAAGGACCACUCCCAUUGCAUCCAACACCGGCCUCCAAUUGUGGGUCCUGCAACCCUGGUUCCAGUCUGGCAAGCAUUGUAGACCUGGCUGCUGAAGACUGACGGGGCCCAGGGUCCGCUGCCCCCACCGCCAUCACCACCUCGGAACCCAGGGUAACGCUGUCAGUCUUUGAGCCUACGAGGAAACCAUUCGGAAGCUCCAGAACCCAGGCCCUAAUCACAACGCCCCUAUCCAGCAGGAAGCAGCCAGAUGAUCAACGACGCCCUUUUUCCUUUUUAUACUAAAGUAAGAAAUAAGAAUGUUAGCCCAAACUGCACUAUUUUGCAGACCCCUACCAUUUUACAAACUGGUCAGAGUGGAAAAUUCCACCAGGGCCUGAGCUGUGAGAAACAUCCUGUCAGGCAGGUCCCAGGCCUAACCCCUGGCUGCACUAAAUUCCUUCAUUAUCAGCAGCCAAACACACCGCCCCCACCCCAUUUUCACAACAAUCCCAGACCUCUCCUGCCCGGGACUGUAACUGGUCCAGCCUGUAAGCGGGAAGGGGGCUCUGGCACUAGCUGGUACCCCCUCUCCGCAGGUCUUUCUCCCAAUAAAUCUGUGUUGCCAUUGAGCUGCUUCUGUUCCGUUCUUUUCUCCCUUUCAUUCUAACAGAUCAAACUACUUC
rnacentral:lncRNA from 1 species